rnacentral:misc_RNA from 1 species
AACGCACAUUGCGCCCGCCAGCACUCUGGCGGGCAUGCCUGUCCGAGCGUCAUUUCAACCCCCCAGAUGAAAAUUCUGGCGUUGGGGCUACCGCGGCAAGGCGGCGCCCUGAAAGCGAGCGGCGGGACCACUGGCACCCCUGGCGUAGUAACUUACAAUCGCCUAGGGCUUUAGUUGCUGGCGUCGUCCCUGCCCCUAACGUACCUAACAAUUAAGAGGUUGACCUCGGAUCAGGUAGGGAUACCCGCUGAACUUAA